GUCUACAGCCAUGCGACCUGGAACAAGCCCGAUCCUGUCUGAUCUUGGAAGCUAAGCAGGGUCGGGCCUGGUUAGUAUUUGGAUGGGAGACCACCUAGGAAGACCAGGUGCUGUAGACG
rnacentral:rRNA from 1 species